GGGCCGUUAGCUCAGCCGGUUAGAGCAAGGAACUCAUAAUUCCUCGGUCGUGGGUUCGAGCCCCACACGGCCUA
rnacentral:tRNA from 1 species